UACGUAGGGUGCGAGCGUUUGUCCGGAAUUAUUGGGCGUAAAGAGCUCGUAGGCGGUUUGUCGCGUCUGCCGUGAAAGUCCGGGGCUCAACUCCGGAUCUGCGGUGGGUACGGGCAGACUAGAGUGAUGUAGGGGAGACUGGAAUUCCUGGUGUAGCGGUGAAAUGCGCAGAUAUCAGGAGGAACACCGGUGGCGAAGGCGGGUCUCUGGGCCGUAACUGACGCUGAGGAGCGAAAGCAUGGGGAGCGAACAGG
rnacentral:rRNA from 1 species